rnacentral:rRNA from 1 species
GAUGAACGCUAGCGGCGUACUUAAAGCAUGCAAGUCGAACGGUCGCGCUUUGCGCGACAGUGGCGAACGGGUGAGUAACGCGUGGGUAACCUGCCCCUGAAUCUGGAAUAACUUCGCGAAAGCGAGGCUAAUACCGGAUAUUGUCCCAGGGACCGUGGUUCUUGUGAUGAAAGAUGACCUCUUCACGAAAGUUGUCGUUCAGAGAGGGGCCCGCGUACCAUUAGCUAGUUGGUAGGGUAAUGGCCUACCAAGGCGAGGAUGGUUAGCUGGUCUGAGAGGAUGACCAGCCACACUGGCACUGAAACACGGGCCAGACUCCUACGGGUGGCUG